AUGUGUUAUCUAGGUGGCUCUUUCAAAAGUAUGAUCUAUAUCUCUGGAGGAGUGUCCUUGUUGGGUGAAAGCCCUCAUGAGAUUUGCAAGGUGACAAUCGCAAAGGUGCUCAGUGC